AUCAGCGGCGAACGGGUGAGUAACACGUGGGCAACCUGCCCCUAGCUCUGGGAUAACUCCGGGAAACCGGGGCUAAUACCGGAUACGACUUCCUGCGGCAUCUCGGGAAGUGGAAAGUUUUUCGGCUAGGGAUGGGCCCGCGGCCUAUCAGCUUGUUGGUGGGGUAAUGGCCCACCAAGGCGACGACGGGUAGCCGGCCUGAGAGGGCGACCGGCCACACUGGGACUGAGACACGGCCAG
rnacentral:rRNA from 1 species